ACGAACGCUGGCGGCGUGCCUAAUACAUGCAAGUCGAACGGUCUUUCUAUGGAAGCUUGCUUCCACUGAGAAGAUAGUGGCGAACGGGUGAGUAACACGUGGGUAGCCUGCCCAUAAGAGGGGGAUAACAUCCGGAAACGGGUGCUAAUACCGCAUAGUUUUCUUGAUCGCAUGAUUGAGAAAGGAAAGACGGCCUUUGUGCUGUCGCUUAUGGAUGGACCCGCGGCGUAUUAGUUAGUUGGUGAGGUAACGGCUCACCAAGACGAUGAUACGUAGCCGACCUGAGAGGGUGAUCGGCCACAUUGGGACUGAGACACGGCCCAAACUCCUACGGGAGGCAGCAGUAGGGAAUCUUCCGCAAUGGACGAAAGUCUGACGGAGCAACGCCGCGUGAGUGAAGAAAAGGUUUUCGGAUCGUAAAACUCUGUUGUCAGAGAAGAACAAGUUGGAGAGUAACUGCUCCAGCCUUGACGGUAUCUGACCAGAAAGCCACGGCUAACUACGUGCCAGCCGCAGC
rnacentral:rRNA from 1 species